UCCUGCCAGGUUUGCUGUGCAGGGAGUGUCGGCCACGCUUGGCGCACUAUCCCAGGCCCCGGGCGAAGGUGGCCAGGAAAAAUGGGGCUUAGGGAUUGCUAAGCAAACGGCACCAUUGGUGGUCUCCAACGCCUGCGGAGAUAUUCACCUCUGUACUGAUCAAGGAGCUGCUGAAGGAAGACUGACUCCUGCAAAGCUCCCUUCAAGUGGGGUCUUUUUCUUUCUCUAUCAUGCAGUGUAGAAAACUGCCACCUGUCAACGAAUCCUCUUAUUUUCCUGUGCAUGUUACAGAUUUAUCCUGAGUGCAACAUUUUAAAGUUCCUUUUCCUUCCCAUACCAAUUAUGGCACUUUUCUGACACACUGUCAAAUCCAAAAAAAGGGAGCAUGGAAAGAAUGAUUGCACACAGGGGCAAUGAAGAGCUCUUGCUUCUGACUCCAUGGAUAUAAACACAAUCGACGUGAAAUUAUACUCAAAGCUUUGUGUUCCCGAGAGAAUGGAGGAAAGGAAACCUGAAAAAGUGACUUACAUCCCAAAAUUGCAAGCUAAAACUUACCUGAAACUAAAUAUAAAGCACCACUGGAAAAUGUCACUUUGCUUGAAUGAAAUGACCUCAAGUUCAUUCAUUCCCUUGGCCCUAAGACUCUGACCAUCAAGCAAUCUUGUGAUUACUGAAUUGGUUUCCUUGGUAACUUGAUUCAAAGAAAGAGGUACCUUGGAGGGUGAACAACAACAUUCCAGACUUGGAAAAAAAUAUAGACUUCCCUUACGUUAAUCAAAUUGGUAUUUUUAAAGAAAGAAAAGAAAAAGAAUACAGUUCCCACCUUCCCCCUUCCAUAGCAUAUUACCUUUCUUUUUCUUUCUGGCU